rnacentral:misc_RNA from 1 species
CGCUGCGGAUGAGCACUACGCCUGUGGACGAUCCUGCUGAGUCUUGAGAUCCUGCUACACCCGUCGUUCACGCCUGCGAUGCCCUCGUCAUCUCACAGUCGGACCUCACGCCCUGGUGUUGAUGAGGUCUGCACGGCAAGGCGGACGGCUCGCGAAGGGAUGGGAGAGCCACUGGGCGGCACUUGGAGGUUCAGGAAUGCACCUCGGAGGCGACAACGCUCUCGCGUAGCGGGCGACACCGCUCGACGACCCGCUCACGCCUCUCUCCCUCGCGACGCUCACUCGACUUCCGCCUCACGCGCUCUGGUUGGCUCAGAAGUGCUGCUGCUGCUUGAGGACCGAUCACUCGUUUGAGCCGAUCGACCUCCCGCGGUGCCCUAUCGCGGUGCUGCACCGCUAGACCGCCUCACCCGCCCACACCUCUUCUCCCGCCUCGACAGCUCUCACGCGCUCGCAAGCGCUCGGACGGCCCCGACUUGCCGUUCAGCGCUUCAUCAAGUAUUCGGAAGCGGCGGGAUGGCGGAGCAGGAGGUUGCGAGGCGGAUCUGAGGAGGAAAUGGUCGCUUCGCCUGCUUGUCUUGCCUGACAAGGAAACCCUCACCCCGUACGUCGCCCCAGCACCUCAGCCUGCCUGUUGAGCCGGCACUCCGCACCCGAGUGGAGCGACCCGGGUCGAACGGCAGCAGCUCUCUCCACUCCCCUCCUGCCCCUCGGGCACAUGCGACAUGCCAUCCCCGACUACCCGUUCCACCAGCUCUACCGUGAGGAUACAACUUUCCUCGGCUACGCCGACCACAUCUCUUCACCCUGUCCUUCGACUUUCCGUCGCUAUCGCCUGCGCCUCCGUCGGCGUACCAUCAUCAUCCAGCUCCUCUAUAUGAGGUCCGAUAGUCGUGCGAGGAGCACAUUCAGCGCCCUCGCCGCAGCAGCUGUCGUAUGCGCACGGCUUGACAUGGUGUUGAGGGCGACGUCCUCCUAUAGGUGCUCGCUCCCGAUGCCGACUCGACACGCUCGUCAAGACGGACAAGGCUUCGAGGGCUGCCGAUCAUCAAGGCUCCCGCUCGUCAGCGACACCAACUUCAGGCUUGAUUUCCUCGCCUCAAGAGGUGCGUCGCCCCAGUGUCGAGCUUUCCGACCCUCUCCAGUCGCCGUCCGCGGCCACCCUCUGUCCCGAAACGCGAAACUCCGACAGAGCCUCGUCUCCUGAUCGAUUCCGUCCGCUGCGUCCCCGAAAACCACAAAACCACAAAAAGUUCUAGCCUGCGUUUUAGGAUCGACAAGAUGCUGAGGGCGACGCACUCUCGCAGAUCGUCUCGCUCGCUCGCUCCUUCCGCGGCUCCACCUCCAAGGUGAGGGUCCCCCUGAUCCACUUCGAAUCCGCCUCACUACCUUUUCCUCCGCAGAUCCGCCUGCGUCUCGACCUCGCCCCUCAACUCUUCCAUCCCGCAACUCACGGUUUCUCAAGUUUCGACUCGACGUCGAAGUCAUCGACGUACGCUUCUUGAUUCCGGCAGCGUCAAGUCCGUCCCGGACGCAGUGGCGCUCGUUGGCGGGGCGGUGGCGCGGGAUGUUGACCGGGCCCGUCUCGCUCGACCCGGCGUCAAGGUUUCGAGGUGUGUCAUACUAUCGCCUCGUAGCCUUGCCCUCUCCCGCAAGACUCGCAGGCAGCUUCUUCGCGAUCUCGCUCUCCUUGCUUGCUCAGAGCAUCGUCGCUCGCCGUAUGCUCCUUCUCUUCGUAGAGACUCGCCGCAACGCAGACGACGUUAUCGCUCC